rnacentral:rRNA from 1 species
GCGCACGGGUGAGUAACGCGUAUGCAACCUACCUUAUACAGGGGAAUAGCCCGAAGAAAUUCGGAUUAAUGCUCCAUGGUUUAUCGAUAUGGCAUCGUAUUGAUAAUAAAGAUUUAUCGGUGUAAGAUGGGCAUGCGUAUCAUUAGCUAGUUGGUGUGGUAACGGCAUACCAAGGCAACGAUGAUUAGGGGUCCUGAGAGGAGAUCCCCCACACUGGUACUGAUACACGGACCAGACUCCUACGGGAGGCAGCAGUGAGGAAUAUUGGUCAAUGGAGGCAACUCUGAACCAGCCAUGCCGCGUGCUGAUGACGGUCCUAUGGAUUGUAAACUGCUUUCACUCGGAAGAAACCUCUCUACUAUCCGAGACUUCACGGUUAACGCGAAAAAGGAUCGGCUACUCCGUCCCACAAAACGCCGUAAACCGGAAGAACGCCGCGUUACUCGCAUUUUUCGAUAUGCUCCGCAAAGGGUUCGUAGGCGGCUUUGUAAGUCAGUGGUGAAAUUUCCUAGCUUAACUAGGACACUGCCAUUGAUACUGCAGAGCUUGAAUAAUAUGGAAGUAACUAGAAUAUGUAGUGUAGCGGUGAAAUGCUUAGAUAUUACAUGGAAUACCAAUUGCGAAGGCAGGUUACUACGUAUUUAUUGACGCUGAUGAACGAAAGCGUGGGGAGCGAACAGGAUUAGAUACCCUGGUAGUCCACGCCGUAAACGAUGGAUACUAGCUGUUCGGAUUUCGGUCUGAGUGGCUAAGCGAAAGUGAUAAGUAUCCCACCUGGGGAGUACGUUCGCAAGAAUGAAACUCAAAGGAAUUGACGGGGGCCCGCACAAGCGGUGGAGCAUGUGGUUUAAUUCGAUGAUACGCGAGGAACCUUACCAGGGCUUAAAUGUAGAUUGACAGAUUUGGAAACAGAUUUUUCUUCGGACAAUUUACAAGGUGCUGCAUGGUUGUCGUCAGCUCGUGCCGUGAGGUGUCAGGUUAAGUCCUAUAACGAGCGCAACCCCUAUUGUUAGUUACCAGCGCGUAGUGGCGGGGACUCUAGCAAGACUGCCGGUGCAAACCGUGAGGAAGGUGGGGAUGACGUCAAAUCAUCACGGCCCUUACGUCCUGGGCUACACACGUGCUACAAUGGCAAGUACAGAAAGCAGCUACCUGGUAACAGGAUGCGAAUCUCCAAAGCUUGUCUCAGUUCGGAUUGGAGUCUGCAACUCGACUCUAUGAAGCUGGAAUCGCUAGUAAUCGGAUAUCAGCCAUGAUCCGGUGAAUACGUUCCCGGGCCUUGUACACACCGCCCGUCAAGCCAUGGAAGCUGGGGGUACCUGAAGUCGGUGACCGCAAGGAGCUGCCUAGGGUAAAACUAGUAACUAGGGCUAAGUCGUAACAA